GAGUUUGAUUAUGGCUCAGAUUGAACGCUGGCGGCAGGCCUAAACACAUGCAAGUCGAGCGGUAGAGAGAAGCUUGCUUCUCUUGAGAGCGGCGGACGGGUGAGUAACUGCCUAGGAAUCUGCCUGGUAGUGGGGGAUAACGCUCGGAAACGGACGCUAAUACCGCAUACGUCCUACGGGAGAAAGCAGGGGACCUUCGGGCCUUGCGCUAUCAGAUGAGCCUAGGUCGGAUUAGCUAGUUGGUGAGGUAAUGGCUCACCAAGGCGACGAUCCGUAACUGGUCUGAGAGGAUGAUCAGUCACACUGGAACUGAGACACGGUCCAGACUCCUACGGGAGGCAGCAGUGGGGAAUAUUGGACAAUGGGCGAAAGCCUGAUCCAGCCAUGCCGCGUGUGUGAAGAAGGUCUUCGGAUUGUAAAGCACUUUAAGUUGGGAGGAAGGGCAGU
rnacentral:rRNA from 1 species